CUGUGCCGGGCCUCCCUUCCCGCUGCUUUAGGCGCCGGAGGGUCCCUGAUGGCCGAGAGAGGAAGCAGCCAUGGUUCUCACCAUGGGAUACCUGCAAUUCCUCCAGCGCUUUUGGUAAUGAAUCACUUAAUUUGCAGAGCCUUUCAGCUGAACAGAUUCCCUCUUACUUGGGACAGGUCUUGUUGUUGGAGCCCUCUGCCUCUGGUGUGAAUGUGAUCAGAUGUUGAGAGGGAUGAGGCCAUCCUGUGUAGGAGGCAGAAGCAGAUUGCCUAUGGAAAGAACACUGUGGGCUACCAGCUCUUCCUUCAGCAAGUCCUCAGCCAGAUUCAUCCUCCUAUUCCAAACAAGUACAAGAAAUAUAGCUGCUGCUCUUGGGAUGUGGAGAUGAGCUCUGUGUGCCUGGGACCCUUCUAACAGGUAUCCUACUCAGGAUGGGCAAGGACUUCUGGAAGACACUUUUGUCCAUUGUCCUAGGUGUCUAUUCAGUCGUAUCUGAGAUGCCCUUUGAGGGAAGGGAGAAUGGAGGAAGUGUAGUCAUGCUAAUCUUGGACCUCUCAAACCUGAGUAUCCUCCUCUGGGCUCUCACUUGACACUGGCUGUCACAUUUCUGUUCUCAGGCAGCCCAAACACAUUGACCGAACUUAUUGUGCAUAGCAGGCAUCUUGUGAGACUUUGUGCUCUGUGGCACCUGAGGUCUCUUCAGAGGAGAGAUUAAGACAUUGCCCUGAUGCCUGCCAGCUCUUCUGAACACUGCUUCCCUCUCUGCAGUGUUCAGCAUCAAUUCUGCCAUCCUGGUAGCUGCUUUCUGAGGACUGGAGAAGAAUAAAAUGCAGUCUCCUGUGCUUGCACAGUCACCUAUCUCUGUCCCAUCAGUGCUGUGGUGACUGGAGUCUGAAAUGCUCUGGGACACAGAUCGAGGCUAUAGGCAUCUGUUAUCCUGAUGUCCCUUCCCUCUGUGCCACAGCAGAACACCUGCUAGGUGUACCUGACCACUUCACCCCGUGUCAGAGAAACAGCCCUGCUCGCAAUGGCAUCAAGGAACUCUGCUGUUUCUUGUCUGGACUGGUGAAUGAGAUGGCUGGCUGCUCCCUUGGGAUCCGCAGCAGCGUGCUCCAGUGACCUGCAACCUCAAGAAACCCUGCGAGGAGGGGCCGGUAUGUCCGAGCCCUGCUAGCGGUGCUGAGGCGGCUGGGCGGCUGAUGGGCUCGGCACCCCACGGAGCUGCUCUUUGCUCUGGCCCCGCAGCUCCAGCCAGCGCCUCCGGGUCCCGCGUCGCCGUGCCUCCCCCGGGACGACCGCGUUGCCUGGCCGCGCCGCCCGGUCCGAAGCGCUCCCGGCACGUCUCGGUGCCGAGCGCCGCCGCAGCGCGGGGAACGCGGGCGCGCUGCUCACGGGGCAGCGGCAGCGCCGCAGGAGCGGCCGCCCGGUGAGUGCCCGCGGGACCGCCCCGCCGUCUGCAACGGCCGCGCGCUCACCGGUUCGGUCCCGGCCGCUCCUCCGCCCAGCGGCCGCCGGUCGCGCCCCUUCUCCUCCCUUCCCCGCGGCGGGAGGGGUUGGGGCUGGCUCAGCGCUGGGGCCGGCCGACAGCUCUCCUCUGAGCCUCGAUUAAGCCCGGCUUCGGCUUUCCCUUCUGCUUCCCGUCCGCGUCCCAGAUCAGGAUCGAAAUGGCCAUUGACAACCAGAACGUAAACAUGCUGGUUUACGUUUGGAUCCGAGUUAUUACAAGAUUUCAAGUCAUUACCUUAAUUUAAUCUGUAAGCAGUUGUAAUUGUUACAUUAUACUGAAAUGCUCUUUGUUCCAUCGAGUCAGAGCAAGUCAGAGUAUUCUGACGGUGACCAAGAACUGGUGCCUAAGAAAUCAGGUUGGAAGAUUUUUCCAGCAGCAAUCCUGGUUUCCAGUGAUCUGCCACUAAAGGAUUUCCCAAGUUGGAAGUGUUUAGUAGUCCUGAGUGUGCUUUUCUUUUGUCAAUGUGAUGGGUGGGUAUGGAGGUUUUGUUUCUUUUCUGAUCAUUGUAAACUUGUCGCAUUCCUAGCGAAGAGUUCCACUGUUCAACUAAUUGAAGGGGAGCUGGGGGUAGUGGUGGUGGUGCAGAAAUAGGUGCUUGACACUUGUUUGGAACCUGCCAGUUCAAUUUGGUACUCAUAGUCAGCCUUUGUUCGCUCUUUCCAGACAAUUCAAGAGUCUAUAGAACUCUGUCUACCCUGCCUCACUGUCUUUUUCCAAAGUUAAUAAUUGUCUUAAUUUCACUGCUUUUUGUACAGAGGUGUUCCACAGCUUUCCUCAUUUUCAAUGCCUUCUGUAGAAUUGUGAGUGUGCACAUGCACCUCCAGAAGGUGAUUGGAUAGCUCAACACCUAUUCUUAUGCUUGCUUUCUGCAUUGUUGACAAACUGACAUUUGGGAGAACGGGAGCGGGGGAAAGAAUGGUUCUUCUGUCAUCUUUUAUCUGCUACAGAGCCUUCAGAGAUUGCUGGAGGUAGCAAAUCUCUGCCCACUGACUUAACGGUCUUUGGGUCAGGAUCUGUACUUGUAAAGAAACAGAGCUAGAGGGAACAGGUAGAGGUCCUCUGGUCUAUCCUGCUCUCCCAAGGAAGACCAGAAGUUCACCUGUUGUCAGCUUGAGAUACUCUUGUAAAAACAACCAUACUGGGUCAAUUGAAAGUCUUUCUAAUGAAUAUGCUGUUUCUGAAGGCACCUGUAAAAUAGUUUUCAUUCUCAGCACUUUGUUUUUGUUUGUUUAACAUACGGUCUUGUUUGAAUUCUCCCUAGUUUGUGUCCUCCCAACAUCUCUGGAUAGCUAAUGUUUUAAGCAUUGACUGUAGUUCAUCCUUAUGGAUGAUGUUCAGCAGUGUAUGCCUUGGGAGGCAUAAAAGAUAGGAUAUGUAAUGAUACUACCCUAAAAUGCUCUCCAGCAGCUAGCCACUGAGUAGUAUUAAUUACAAAGACAUUUACAGUAGUUGAAUCUAGUUCAUGAUUCCCUAGCUUGACCACAAUACCACAGCAGUUUCAGAAGGCUCGCUAGAGUCAAGAUAGGUGAUCUUUUCUGCUUCUUCUUUAUAGAUAACGGCUGUUACUUUGAAAGAGAAAACAGAUUAAUUCUUGACAAACUGUGUUGGAGAUGAGUAGUAGUCUUAGUGAUUUCCACAAACAACUUACAUGGACCAGAUUAUUAUUAUUUUUUAAAUUAUAGGCAAAUUCAUUGGUUCAUAAUCCUUAGCUUAUCUUCUUGUCUUUUUCCACAUAGGCAGGUUUUGGCCUCUUUCACACUCCUGGUAUCUGAUUCACCCUUCAUGAAUCUGUCAUUAUUUCAACCAGUUCAUGAAAUAUCCUGAGAUAUUUAAAGGUCUUCAGACCCAGCGAGCCUGAAAAUACGGCAUUUUUCUAAGCACUCUCUAUGCUUUUGUUGUCUGUAUCUUUGCCAGAUAUUCUUGUUAUUGUUUAACUGCCCUUGUCACCAGCUCACAGUUCCCAUUAUCACCAUCUGUCCUUUUGCUCACCAAAUCCCAACGUACAGCAGGAGAAAGGCACAUAGAUUUGUUAAAACAUACAGUGGUGUAUCUGAAUGGAAUUUGGGAGCUGUUGAAGAAAAGGGCCAUGUUAAAGUAGAUCAGUUGUAUGGAUUUCAGAUCAGGUA